GGAGGUCAAAGCUUUGUGGUGUUGGAUCCACAUGCUUUUUCUACUAAUCUUCUUCCAAGAUACUUUAAGCAUAAUAAUUUCUCUAGCUUUGUCAGGCAGCUCAAUACUUAUAAGGUAGACGGGUAACAAGCUGUGUCGCCACCCCUUUCUGAAUUGCAAACCCUAAUUUACCAAAGACGAAACCCUGCCCCCUCCUGAGGCUGAACAAUUGUUGUGGAUGACCCGUUGUACCCUGGUCAGGAAUUGGAUAACUUCUGGCGCUAGGGAGCCAAAUGUGUCAAAGACAAAAUGCACAAAAACAUGUUGGUUCUCUGCAUAAGCUUUAGCGUGCUUAUCAACUUUCUUCGAUUCUGCCUUUCUUGCUGCUUGUCCAGCUACAAACCCGUUUUCUCUUAAACAAACCAGAGUGGAAACCCUGCUAGGUCCACACAAGCAUGUUUCCCCCUAGCCCAACCAAAGGCGAGCAGAUCUGCUGGUUGCAGAGUAGAUCUUCCUUCUAUAGAGUCCGGAUUUCGAAAGAUCGAUCCGGACACAUGGGAAUUCGCUAACGAAGCGUUUGUAAGAGGUAAACGACAUGUGUUAAAGAACAUCAAGAGAAGAAGAACGCCUAACGCUCAAGUGUUAUCUCCGGUUAACGAAAUUGGAAAGUCGAGUUUCGAUGAAGUUGGUCAUCUAAAACACGAAAAACAGGUGUUAAUGAUGGAGUUAGUUAAGCUUAAACAACAACAACAAACCACGCGGGCCCAACUUCAAGCAAUGGAGCUACGGUUACAAGGAACCGAGUUAAAACAACAAAAGAUGAUGAAUUUCUUGGCGAAAGCAAUGCAAAAUCCGGACUUUGUUCAGAAACUGGUCAAACAUGGUAAAAGUAAGGAGUUUCAAGAAGCGAUCAAGAACCAGAUCGGCGAAUCAAGUCAAACGGGUGGCGGGUCGAAGCUUAUUAAAUCCGAACCGGAGGAAUUCAUGGAUAGUUCGUCGUUCCAAGUGUCGGAACUCGAGGCGCUUGCGUUAGAGAUUCAAGGGAUUGGUAGAUCGAAAAGAAAUCAAGAACGCGAACGCGAACACGAACACGAACGAAACGAUCUCGAAUUUGACGGUGGGGAGAAAGAACUGGAUGAUGAAUUCUGGGAAGAGUUGUUUAGUGACAGAUCAUAUGAACAGUCUGCUGAUGAUGUGAAUUUCUUGGCUGAUAAGUUGGAUUUCUUGGGCUCGAGCCCGAAGUAGGAAAAGCCCGUUAGCCCGUUAACGGAUGUUUUAACUCAUGAAUAACUGUUUCUUGAAUCUUGAUCUUCCUUGUUAUUGAUCUUUGUAGUUAUGAACAAACACAUCAGAUGGUGAUUGAAGAUUAUGAUGAUCUUUGACCGAUUUUAGGAUGCUGUUUUUCGGAGAUUAGGUCAUCAACACAACUAUUCCUUCCUUCAGAAGUUUAUCCAGAAAUCAUUUGUUGUUUUAUGGGUUCUUUUUAAGUUUUUGUGCAUUUGAUUCUCUUAUAUAAUAACUCUUUGUUCAUCAUAUCAGAUUAGAUUGGAAGCAAGCAUUUUCUUGGACUCAAAUGAAGUUGCUUGUUCCGAUUAUAUCUCGAGGAUGAACUAGAGCUGGAGAAAUAGUCCCGGGUCAUUCUUGGAGAUAUCGGAAUUGAAUUGGAUCAUUAGGGACUUGGAUUCGAUUAAGCUUGAAGUCCGAAACCACAAGUGGGCAUGGAUCGGGAUGGAAGAUUAUUCGGUUGGAACGGUUAGAAGAAUUCUUAAAAAAGGAACGGAUCACAGCAGUAAUUAUGUAAAGAAAUGGUGUAAAUGGAUCCUGAUGAAGUGUAACAUUCAUGCAUGGAGAGCUGAAAUGGAUAAAAUCCCAACUAGAAUGGCGUUAAGAAGUAGGAAUGUCGAGAUAGAAGACCUUGCGUGCCCUUAUGCGGAGCUGAAGACGAAACGAGCAAUCAUCUCUUCACUUCUUGUAUGGUGGCGAGUAGAGUGUGGCAUUAUAUUUCGAGAUGGUGUAAAGUUGCACCUUUUAUUGCUCACACGGUCAGGGAGCUUCUGGACCUUCAUGAUCAUGUCGGUUUGCAAGGCAUAUCGAAAGAGAUAUUGAGAUAUUUCACUGGAUUAUUUUGAUUGGGUGUUGGAGCAUAUGGCGGGCCAGAAACGAUGUUAAGUUCUCUAAUAGUCAAGUUCGGGUGGAAGAUACCAUUAGUGAAACUAAUUCGGUUGUUUUUUUUUUUUUAGUUUAGUAGUAGAUCGAAAGCCAGAUCCGUGUCUUGAACCGAGUAGUGUAACUUUGUAAUUAUGUAAUGUCAUUCACCAUUCUAUAUCUAGGUAAAAAGAAAAUUUCAACAGUAUUAUUUUAAAAA